rnacentral:rRNA from 1 species
CGUACGUCGGGGCGAGCAGCCGCGGUAGUACGGGGGGUGGAGUGUGUGUUCGUAAUGGCUGGGCGUAAAGCGGUCGUAGGCGACCGACUAAGUAGUAGGUGAAAUCCAUCGGCUUAACCGGGGAACGGCUGCUGGUACUGGAUGGGUUGAGGUCGGGAGAGGGAUGCGGAAUUCCAGGUGUAGCGGUGACAUGCGUAGAUAUCUGGAGGAACACCGGUGGCGAAGGCGGCAUCCUGGACCGAUACUGACGCUGAUGGGCGAAAGCCAGGGGAGCAAACGGGAUUAGAUACCCUGGUAGUC